GGAAGGAUCAUUAUCGUAUCGACCGAGGUGCUGGGGUUGUCGCUGACUUUUUGUUGUGCACGCCCCGGUGCUCUCUCACAAUCCAUCUCACCCCUUUUGUGCAUCGCCGCGUGGGCUCCCCCUUUCAUGAAAAGGAGGCGUUUGCGUUUUUACACAGACCACUCGCAUCGCAUGUGUAGAAUGUUUUUGCUUUUAUUGCGAUAUAAUACAACUUUCAACAACGGAUCUCUUGGCUCUCGCAUCGAUGAAGAACGCAGCGAAAUGCGAUACGUAAUGUGAAUUGCAGAAUUCAGUGAAUCAUCGAAUCUUUGAACGCACCUUGCGCCCCUUGGCAUUCCGAGGGGCACACCCGUUUGAGUGUCGUGAACAUCCUUCAACCUUUCUCGGUUUUCUCCACCGGGGAAGGCUUGGACUUUGGGGGUUUUUCAUUGCUGGCCUCCUUCGAAGCCAGCUCCUCCUAAAUCGAUUAGUGGGGUCUGCUUUGCCAAUCCUCGACGUGAUAAGAUGUUUUCUACGUCUUGGGUUUCGCACUGUUGCCUUGGACCCUGCUUCUAACCGUCUCGCAUACGAGACAAGAGUCAUGAACCUUGACCUCAAAUCGGGUGAGACUACCCGCUGAACUUAAGCAUAUCAAUAAGCGGAGGAAAAGAAACUAACAAGGAUUCCCCUAGUAACUGCGAGUGAAGCGGGAAAAGCUCAAAUUUAAAAUCUGGUGGCCCUCACGCCAUCCGAGUUGUAAUUUAGAGAAGCGUCUUCCGCGCUGGACCGUGCACAAGUCUCCUGGAAUGGAGCGUCAUAGAGGGUGAGAAUCCCGUCUUUGGCACGGACCCCAGGGCUUCUGCGAUGCGCUCUCGAAGAGUCGAGUUGUUUGGGAAUGCAGCUCAAAAUGGGUGGUGAACUCCAUCUAAAGCUAAAUAUUGGCGAGAGACCGAUAGCGAACAAGUACCGUGAGGGAAAGAUGAAAAGCACUUUGGAAAGAGAGUGAAACAGUACGUGAAAUUGUUGAAAGGGAAACGCUUCAAGUCAGUCGCGUCGCCCGAGACUCAGCCUUGCCUCGGCUUGGCGUACUUCUCGGCUGACGGGUCAGCAUCGAUUUUGACCCUCGGAUAAUGGUGGAGGAAAGGUGGCACCUUUACAGGUGUGUUAUAGUCCUCCGUCGCAUGUGGGGGUUGGGAUCGAGGAACUCAGCACGCGCCUCUCGGUGUCGGGGCUUCGGCCCACGUUUACGUGCUUAGGAUGCUGGCGUAAUGGCUUUAAACGACCCGUCUUGAAACACGGACCAAGGAGUCUAACAUACCCGCGAGUGUUCGGGUGGAAAACCCGUGCGCGCAAUGAAAGUAAAAAGUUGGGACCUCUGUCGUGGAGGGCACCGACGCCCGGACCAGACCUUCUGUGACGGCUCUGCGGUAGAGCGUGUAUGUUGGGACCCGAAAGAUGGUGAACUAUGCCUGAAUAGGGUGAAGCCAGAGGAAACUCUGGUGGAGGCUCGUAGCGAUUCUGACGUGCAAAUCGAUCGUCAAAUUUGGGUAUAGGGGCGAAAGACUAAUCGAACCAUCUAGUAGCUGGUUCCUGC
rnacentral:misc_RNA from 1 species